rnacentral:tRNA from 2 species
UAGAUUGAAGCCAGUGAUAGGGUGCUUAGCUGUUAACUAAGUUUUCGUGGGUUAUAAUCCUUCCAAUCUAG